CAGAUCUUUUCCACACAUGCAUAAGGCAGCUUGAAUUUCUGGUAAUUGUGAGGGCUUGACUCUUGCAACUAUUUCCAACAGACCCCUGGUGACUUUUGGGCUUUGUGAAGAUCAUUCCCGUGAUAUACUCAACCUGAGCAUUUGCGACAUGGUGAGUCCCGUGGAUGACUGGCUGCAAACGUAGCAGCUUCUGUCUAAAAAUAUCAAGGAUCAUUGCAGUGUGUCGUUCGGAUGAACUACAGUGUAGGGAGGAAAAUUUUAUAGCGAAAAUUUAUGGGCGAAGACAUAAAGCUGCAUCCUAAGCAGACUGCAUGCUAGUUUGACCUUGACUUUUCAUUUUAAAUCAAGCUCGGAUCUCUUGGAUUCCAAAAAAUAUCAAAUUGCAAUUUUUUUCCUGCUCUUUACACUGAGUCACGCAUACAUUUCUCAAUGCUAUCAUUUCCUUGGGACACAAGGACAAGUAUAUAUGUAUUGCUGUUUCCUUCCUGAGUUGAGAACAAAAUGGACAGCAUUCUUAUUGUGGAAAGACCAACACAAAAUGUCACCAGAAAUCCAUUACUGAGGUGCUUUCAACCUCGUGGGGCCAGUCAAGCACUUCUUCCCAUUAACAAAUAACCAGUUGGACAAAAAACACCAGGAAGAGAACCGGUGGACUUCACCAAACCAAGAUAUACUGUAUCAAAAACAACAAUGGGACCUUUAAUUGAUACCUUCAGUUGAUGAUACCACGUGAGGCAGAGAUGAAGGACAGCGACCCUUCUGAAUCACUGCCAAAAGAUACAAAAUAACAAAGAAGAAAUUUGCUACAGGACCUUGAAAGACGUCUAGAAUUUGAAAAGUCCUAGAAUUUAAUCUAGGAUUUAAUUUAAUCCAGCAGCCUAAUUUUUUUUUAAAGUAGGUUCUAUGCCCAUGAGGAGCCCAAUGUGGGGCCUGAAAUCACAACCCUGAGAUCGAGACCUGAGCUGAGAUUAAAAGUCAGAUGCUUAACUCACUGAGCCACCCAGGCACCCCAAGCAAUCUAAUUCUUGGUGGUAUUAACAGUAACUGUUUUAAUAAAUGUGCAAAGCUAGCCGUUCAAAGAUCACUUUCACAGCAUUGAUUAUGAUACUGAAAGAUGUGGACCAACCUGAAUAUCUACUAACAGAAGAUAGGCCAAAGAAAUUAUUGCAUGGUUAUCCAACAGAAUAGCAUAGUUAUAAACAAUAAUGCAGAACUUUGUUUUUUAAAAGUUCAUUAUAAACUAAAUGCAUAAAAACUAGGUUACCAAAUAAAAAAAUAUGAAGAAAAUUGUGAAUCCACUUUUGUAAAUAUUUAUCCUCUGUGCAAAACCAUGGGGAGAAUGGCUUUUGACUUAAAUAGUUCAGAGGAGAAACAGCCUAAGAACCCAGAACAAAAUCUGUGUAGGAUUUGAUAGCCACAUAGAAUAGAAGGAAUUUUGGCCAGCCCUUCACAUCAAAUACAAAAAUCAAUCCUAGAUUGAUUGUGGAUCUAAAUGCAAAAGAUAAAACAAUUAAGAUUUUGGAAAAAUAAGAAUAUAUUCCAGCCUGGGGUAAAGAUUCCUUGGACAAACCACAAGAAACACUUUUAUAAAAGAAAAAAAAGUAAUUGGCAUUACAUUUAAAGAACUUUAUCCAAAGUAUUUAUCAAAAAAAUACCAUUGAGGGGCGCCUGGGUGGCACAGUGGUUAAGCGUCUGC